AUUUAACUGAAUUUUUUCAAAAGUGAAAAUUUAUUGGCAUGUAGCUUAUAAAAGAAAAGAAAAGUAAGCUAAAUACUUUCCACAAUAGUCUAGCAGUACAAUAGCAGUUGACUGUGUGUGUUUAUGUAAAAUUUAUCAAUAGAUAUAUAAUAGAAUGUUACACAUGUGUAGUACUGCCAGGACAGGUUCGUUCAAAACUCAUAGAGCAUUGACCUUUGCUGGUUUCCUUGCCUGGUACAAUGUAGCACAUGGGUAGCCUAUAAAAGGUUCCACAAGGUUGUGCUCAUCAUCUUGCUUUUCUCAUCAGCCUAAGUGAGCCAGGUAGGCUCUCUCAGUUGUAGAAACACAGUUACAUAUGAAAACUUCCAUUAUACUUCUUUAUGGUCUGGACUUCCAGGGCUAUUUCCUUCUGAAGUAGAAUAUGCCUGCAUUAUCACUUCAUUUACUCAGUUGGCCAACUAAUCUUUAGAGAGUAAAGCACCGUUAUGAUGCUCCCUAAAACAACCAAACUGAAGAUAGCUGGCAACCACUUCCACUGUAAACAGUGGUACAUUCUGCAUGUCCUCUGGGCAUUAUCUCCAAAUGUGCCACCAGAUUAGAAAUACAAUUUACACUUUACAAAUUAGCAUACAUUUCCCAAACCAGUGUGUCAGUUUGUAUAUAUUUGGGUUGCCAGUAUGCUUGCCCUUUUUUCAGGUUGCAGUUUUAAUACAUAUAUAAAAGCUCUUUAAUGAAACGAGUAAAUUGUGGAAACGACCAGUCACUUGCUUGGGUACUGCAGUACUUAGGCAUUUGCUUAGCUGUAUUGAAUGGAGGAUCCUAUGGCAGUCUUAACAACAGCCUGCAGCAUAUUUUCUGCAACUGCUCCAGUGCACUACUGUAUUACACUCUGAUCUUCAGAAUGCUUUAGUUCUAGUGCAUGCGUUGAUCAUGUUCAUCAUGAAUCUACAUCAAGGUCUGGCAGAACAAACAGCUCGCCAUCCUCGCCUGAAAAACAAGAGAAUCUACACAUUAAUCCAUUUUGUGGCCUACAUUGACACUGAAAUUAAAACUGUCAAUAGGAAAUAAUCAGUUGAAUCUAGUCAUGAUAAAACGGUUCUUGAAUCUUCACAAACUAAUGAUCAGUCUGGCACACCACUGGAAAUGGAUUCAUGCAACUAGAACCCAUCUGCUAAAGGAGAGAUGAUUAAAGUGCAACUUUAAUCUAAGCUCUCAAAAGAGAAACCAUGCUUACCUCAGCUGAAGGACAACCUUUUUAUCAUGUCUAGCUGUUAAAUGCAUUACUAUACAUAAAACUACAAGAAAGAAAGUUACAGAUGCACCUACAAGAUACUAGUAGACACUAGACUUGGGGUACACUAAAAAUCCAUUGUAUAGCAUCUCUGGUUGGUCAACCUGUUGGCUGUACAGCCAGAUGACAUCUCAUCUGUCCAAUAAAAGCAGCGGACUCUAGCUCUUUUACGCAAUGUGUCCAUCAAAUACUAUAGUGUAUAUGUUAAGGUAGCACCAGUAGAGGCUAUUUAUUAGGAGACUACUGAAUUGAUUGAUAUUAAUAACUUUUCACUAUUUAUUGAUUGAUUCAUGAUUUCAUUAAUCUAUCUCAUUAUCAAAUGGCUCACUGAUAAUAAAUAAACACAUCUUCUUGGUAAUGCUUUAUUUAUUUAUUUUUUUGCUUUGUGCUCUUAGAGAUGGAAAUCCACAUUAAUUCUUUCCUACAUCAAGCCAAAUUCAAAUAUAUGGAGGAAAGCAAAGCACAGGCUUCGCAAUACAUAUUACAGAAAAUAAUCAGUUAACAGCAGAAAUCGUUAAGUUUCAGACAUUAUUAAAUGUAUUCAUGCAUAUGUAUACCUCUGUGUUGGAUAUAUCAUAAUCAGUUAAACAAGUGACUAUUGGUUUAAAAUUGCACAUGACCAUUUCCUGAAGGGCAAAAGGGAAGCUCUUAUUGUGAAGUAACCGGAAAUGUGUGGGGAUUUUGAGGGGUGUGAAUGGUGUGGUGGAAAAAAAUGGCGGUCGCUAAUAAAGUUGUGAUCGAUUAA
ensembl:lncRNA